GUUGAUUUAUAAUGGAAGCAAAAUUUCCAAAUGACUAUAAAUUAAGAUUUCAAAUCAAUCAAAUUCCAACUGAAACUGUUCUACUCGGCCGUAUAGAAUUUAUGAAAUGAUUUAGUGCAAGAAAUGUUGAGAUGUCUUUACUAUUGGUAUCAGAAUGUUUUUGGUAAGAGCCUUGAUCGAAACAUUCUGCGCAGAAUAUUCAAAAAAACUAACGAAUCUCUCAAAAUAUGCCUUACAUUUUCACGACAAUCACAAUCAAAAUAUCGUUAAAGUAUGUAUAUCUAUAGAGGCAUUAAACCGUCAUUUGCCACAGUACAAACAAUGCUAAACCAAUGCGAAUACAAAUGUGAAGCAACAGAUAGAGUCUUAAUACAACCAACAACAAAACAGAUGGAGACACAACAAGCAAUAAUACCGUUAUAGAGUUCGCCAUAAAUACUACGGAUCUAUCAACUCGGCUAAAAGCGUGCACCACACUGACUGCAAGAACAACUUUCGUACAGAUAAAAUGCCAU